GACGUAGGGUGCAAGCGUUGUCCGGAUUUACUGGGCGUAAAGAGCGCGUAGGCGGCUCGUUAAGUGAGAAGUGAAAGCUGUGGGCUCAACCCACAAACCGCUUUUCAUACUGGCGAGCUGGAGUGAUGCAGAGGUGGAUAGAAUUCCUGGUGUAGCGGUGAAAUGCGUUGAUAUCAGGAGGAAUACCCGUGGCGAAGGCGGUCCACUGGGCAUCAACUGACGCUGAGGCGCGAAAGCGUGGGGAGCAAACAGG
rnacentral:rRNA from 1 species